rnacentral:rRNA from 1 species
GACGUAGGGCGCGAGCGUUGUCCGGAUUUAUUGGGCGUAAAGAGCUCGUAGGCGGCUUGUCGCGUCGAAUGUGAAAUCUCAGGGCUCAACUCUGACAUUGCAUUCAAUACGGGCAGGCUAGAGUUCGGUAGGGGAGACUGGAAUUCCUGGUGUAGCGGUGAAAUGCGCAGAUAUCAGGAGGAACACCGGUGGCGAAGGCGGGUCUCUGGGCCGAUACUGACGCUGAGGAGCGAAAGCGUGGGGAGCGAACAGG